GCCGCCGUAGCUCAGAGGAUAGAGCGCUAGUCUUCGGAACUAGGCGUCGUGGGUUCGAUUCCUACCGGCGGCACCA
rnacentral:tRNA from 1 species